rnacentral:rRNA from 1 species
UACGUAGGGUGCAAGCGUUGUCCGGAAUUAUUGGGCGUAAAGAGCUCGUAGGCGGUUCGUCGCGUCGGCUGUGAAAACCUGAGGCUCAACCUCAGGCCUGCAGUCGAUACGGGCGGACUUGAGUACUGCAGGGGAGACUGGAAUUCCUGGUGUAGCGGUGAAAUGCGCAGAUAUCGGGAGGAACACCGGUGGCGAAGGCGGGUCUCUGGGCCGUAACUGACGCUGAGGAGCGAAAGCGUGGGGAGCGAACAGG